UCAUUGCACACACAUUUGCGAAUGCCAACCCCUUUGCGAACUUUACCACUGUCCCCCACCCCCCCAACUGGUUCCGGCCAGCACCAAAAGUCUCUGACCAAACACGGCGAAUGCCUCUCSCCGUGUUUGGUUGGCUGAUCUAAACACGGCGAGGGGCAUCUCCCCGUGUUUGGGKUGGCUUAKGGGACUUGGUGUUUUUUGGGGUUUUUCCAAACAAUCUUUGGAUGGSGCAAUGCAUUCACUCUCAAACAUAUGACUGAGUGUACCAAGGAGAAUCUCGCGGGGGGGGGACCACMACMACMACCACCACMACMACCACCCCCCACACCCCCGGAGUUGGGAGUUGGGAGCGCUGGGAGUUUGGAAGUGAGUGCGUGGUGCCACCCCCGAGUUCGAGUUGUGUUAAGUGAUAAACCGAAAACAACUCUCAGCAACGGAUAUCUUGGCUCCCGCAACGAUGAAGAACGCAGCGAAAUGCGAUACGUAGUGUGAAUUGCAGAAUUCCGCGAAUCAUCGAGUCUUUGAACGCAAGUUGCGCCCGAGGCUUGCCCUCGUGCAUUUCUGUCAGAGCGUCACCGCGCCACCCACCGACCCCCCCACUCCUUCGGAGUGAGUGGGGGCCGAGUGGAACUGGCCGUCCCAGCGCGCCGCCGCAAGCGGCGGCGACUGGGUUGGCUGAAAUGGAGUUGGACUCCGGCCCCGCCGCGGCGACACAGCCCGCGAUCAGGUGAUCCCCCGAAAAACCAGGAGGGGGAGAGUGCGAAAGAAAUGGGUUGGCUGUGGAGUUGGGUGGGGUACCGGAGCACAAAGGAAGCAGGCAGGCAG
rnacentral:rRNA from 1 species